rnacentral:lncRNA from 1 species
CCUACCUCAGAUUCAUACCUGAGCUUCAAUAGGAGCCUCUGGGAGCCAGCGCCCUGCUCCAAGAGAACGGCGGGAAUGGCGGGAUUCAGGCAUGGGGGCAGCUCCGUGAGGGAGGUAUUUGGGGACAGGUUAGGUACUUCUGAAAAAGCAAGCUGUCAUUCAAGGCACCCUUCAUUGGUACAGGAUGUUAAACAGGUUAUGGAAUAAGAAAAUCCACUAAAAUGGAAAUGCUUGUUUGAGUGACUGGAGCAAGCAUACAGAUCUCAGAGGGUGUGCUUCGUGCAAACAGGCAAGCUUUUAGAAAAGAAGAGACAUUUUUUACAAGUCCCUUAAAGUCACACUGAUGCAUUUGUAGUCAGGCUAUAAUGAUCUUUGACAUCUUGCAUGGACUUGCCUCCCAGAGCCAACCCAGAUUCAGCAGCUUUCGAAAUUCUAAAGCACAGGUUACAGGUUUCUGCGCAUUUUACAAAAUUCAAAAGUAUCAACACAGGAAAAAAAAUUUCCAAAGCUGGACUUCUACAUAAACAAAGACAACCCGAAGAGAAUGUGACAGAUACUCUCGCUUCGUGCCUCUAAACCAGGACAUGCAAGCCUGGACUUGGAGUUAAAAACAAAGGCAGCC